GCCCGCCUAGCUCAAUCGGAUAGAGCGUCAGACUCUUAUAGUGUCUAUAGGCAACAGGCGAUCUGAAGGCUGCGAGUUCGACCCUCGCGGUGGGCU